AGAACCUUGACCAAGUUUUGACUAGCUUGCUCCUUCCAAAUGCCUUCUAAUAAACAAGUUAAGGCUUCUUUCAUCCUUUUAGUUUUCGCUCUUGUCAUUGGUUCUCGAUGAAUAGUUAAAGGGUCUUUGGCAGAAUUAUAAUCAACUUGCUCAUUCAUAUCAUUCCCCCUUUCCUUGAAAGGAUUCGUCCUCGAAUCAGUGUCUUCAUCACCUG
rnacentral:lncRNA from 1 species